AGGGCUUGGUAGCUCAGCUGGGUUAGAGCGCGCGCUUGAUAAGCGUGAGGUCGGAGGUUCAAGUCCUCCCAGGCCCACCAAUUUUACAUCACUUUUAAGUGCUUAUAGAAAUUGUAAGCAGUUAUGAAAGCUUGCUGAUAAAAAUUUUAUGGCGCUUAUCCAUUUGGUUUAAACGAUAUGUGACUUAAGCCAUCUAAAAUUAAAGCAGUUCAAAUGCAUAGAAGUUUGAAUUUUAGACAAUGGAAGUAAAUUUGGAUAAUGUGAAUUUUGAGCAGUAUAAAUUUAGGUUCUGCAAAUUUUGCAAAUCUCUCUUCAAAGAGUUUCGCAUGGUUUUAUGCUGUUUUAGGGGCCGUAGCUCAGCUGGGAGAGCACCUGCUUUGCAAGCAGGGGGGUCGUCGGUUCGAUCCCGUCCGGCUCCACCAUUUUAGGUCAUCAUCAUUGUUAGACGAACAGUGUUUG
rnacentral:tRNA from 1 species